rnacentral:snRNA from 1 species
GUAAUGUCCAAAUGUCGUUCAGGGCCUUACCCAAGACCCAGCGAUCAAUUUUUGGGUGUCCGCCCAGGAGGGUGGACAA